rnacentral:piRNA from 1 species
UCCUCAUCCAGUAGGAUGUUUUGUGGCUU